CGCCCCUGCGGUCACGUGACCCUCCCGAGGGGUGGGGCCCGCCCAAGUCCCGCCAAUCGCCGCCCGCCUCGGCCCCGCCUCGGCCCGCCCCUGCCUGCGCCGGCGCGGUGGGCUCCGCGCGUCUCUGCGCGAGGAGGUCCGGGCGUUGUCCCGGGUCCCGACCUCGGACCGCUCGCGGGACGGCCCUGCGGAGCAGUCGGAGCCGCUUCCGCCCGCCGCGGACCCCGGCGGGAGGGCGUGUCGCGUCCGCAGUGCGCGGCUCCUCGUGUCUGUGCGCAGCCUGGUUCCGCCGGCUCCCCGCCGUGGGCAGAGCCUUGACGUUCGGGCUUCUUGCAUUUUGACCCUUAGGGGUCGGGAGGCGCUCGGGCACCACGUGGGCCCCAGGCGCUGGACACCCCUGCCCUGCAACUCGGGGCGACAAGACCUCAGCCCUGCGGCCGGCUUUUCUUGCCAGUCCGCCAGAUCCUCCCAUAGCCAUCCUUGUGGACGUGGCGCAAGGGACCCACCGGCGUCCGUCACACCUACCGCAGGUGUCGGGGAAGCCUGCGCUCCGGUUUCCUGACUCCUCGUUCUCCCGCCACCCCGCGCCACUUUGAGCACGUGCUUUCCCCUCCUUGCCCGCGACCCUGGUGCUUGCCUGCCACCUCCCUCCCCGGCCCUCUUGGCAGCUGAAAAUGUACAAAGCAUAGUCGGACGGCUCUGGUUUUGUUUGAGGACAUCUAAAUUCAUAAAGGACACAACAGAAAACCGAGUUUCCAGACUGAGAACGGUGACAAGUGUGAGCACCGUGUCCCUCGACUUUGAAACGCCAGCCAGUCCACAUAGGGACUCUGACGGCCCAUAUCACCAUCCAGCAUGUAAUGAAAAAGGUCACCAACAAGAGCCCAAAUGGAACUAAAGCGCCAGGAAGGAAUGUUGUCUUCCACGUGAAAUCGGUGAGCAGGGCAGAGGGCAGAGUCGAAGGGUCACUAUAGUUGACAACUGGCAGAGCUGGGAGGGAACUGGCGAUUUUCCCCUCCUGCCCUGACACCUGAAACAGCAGCUUACCAAACAGUAUCCCUGGCGCGCAGCUCCCGGGAGAAUGUGUUACUGCCCACUAGGUGGCAAUGCUGUCUGACCUAACUAACGCAGAACUUGAACUUGAAGAUUCAUCUAA